GGGCCCUUAGCUCAGCUGGUAGAGCGUCUGGCUGGUAGUCAGAAGGUCAGCGGUUCGAUCCCGCUAGAGUCCA
rnacentral:tRNA from 1 species